UACGUAGGGAGCAAGCGUUGUCCGGAAUCAUUGGGCGUAAAGGGCGCGUAGGUGGCCCGGUCAGUCCGUGGUGAAAGCGCGGGGCUCAACCCCGCGUCGGCCAUGGAUACUGCUGGGCUCGAGCACUGUAGAGGCAGGCGGAAUUCCGGGUGUAGCGGUGGAAUGCGUAGGAGAUCCGGAAGACACCGGUGGCGAAGGCGGCCGCUGGGCAGGUAGCUGACACUGAGGCGCGACAGCGUGGGGACAACAGGAU
rnacentral:rRNA from 1 species